rnacentral:rRNA from 1 species
CGACGAAUCUUCUGCAAUGGGCGAAAGCCUGACAGAGCAAUGCCGCGUGUGGGAUGAAGCGUCUAUGACGUGUAAACCACUGUCAGGGGCGGAACCAAUGAUUGCCCCCAGAGGAAGAGCCGGCUAACCCUGUGCCAGCAGCCGCGGUAAGACAGGGGGUGCAAACGUUGUUCGGAAUCACUGGGCAUAAAGCGCACGUAGGCCGUCCUCUAAGUCCGAUGUGAAAGCCCCCAGCUUAACUGGGGAACUGCACCGGAUACUGGAGGACUCGAGGGUGGCAGGGGUGGGUGGAACUCCAGGUGGAGCGGUGAAAUGCGUAGAUAUCUGGAGGAACACCGGUGGCGAAAGCGGCCCACUGGGUCACAUCUGACGCUGAGGUGCGAAAGCUAGGGGAUCAAACGGGAUUAGAUACCCGUGUAGUCCCUGAGCGGGCUGGCAAGGCGCAU